rnacentral:rRNA from 1 species
UACGGAGGGUGCGAGCGUUGUCCGGAAUCACUGGGCGUAAAGAGCGCGCAGGCGGUCGUGCAAGUCGCGUGUGAAAGCCCCCGGCUCAACUGGGGAGGGUCACGCGAUACUGCUCGACUUGAAGGCAGGAGAGGGAAGUGGAAUUCCCGGUGUAGUGGUGAAAUGCGUAGAUAUCGGGAGGAACACCAGUGGCGAAGGCGACUUCCUGGCCUGUUCUUGACGCUGAGGCGCGAAAGCUAGGGUAGCAAACGGG